GUAAUCAGACUGGCUAAGAUCAUGGUUGAUCCAUCUCGCCUCUGUCGUCUUUUGUUCGGUUUUGUACCGUUAUUAUUUGUUUAUUUGUUUCAUGCUCUCUUCGCAAUUUUCUAGAAAGACUGUUUCUAGUGGUUUCAUGUGCUCUAAUACUGUGUAUUUGGCUCUAGUGUUGUUGUAUUUUGGGCAGAUGUAGAGUGCAUGUUUUAGGUCUUCUCGUUCUAAGCAGAUUUCGCAGCAAUCAUCAUCCUCGAGGCGCCACAACGCCCUUCUUUCUUUCGUGAAGGUGUUUUGAGUAUUUCGUAGUGCCAUCGUCCUUUAGAAUUGGAUAGUGCCUUGUACACUUCCGACCAAUCAUACCAGAUCUCCUUCUGGCUUAGAGCGAGUGCAUCACCGAGUGUUAUACCAAUAUGUUCCGUUUGUUUGUCAUACGUUUUAGAGACUGCCGCUUGAUCAGCUAUUUCGUUUCCUUGAAUGCCGGUGUGGCUGGGGAUCCAUUGGAUUUUUAACGCCCCUCUUCGCAUAUCUUUUAUAUCCUUGUA